rnacentral:lncRNA from 1 species
GACUCACCUCCCAGACUUCCUGCAACAGACAACUCUAAAUAGCUCGGUCCCACCCUCCAGCAGGGGAGACAUUCCGGUCGGGAAGGGCAGGAGGUUAGAAGGUGGGUGCCCCGCCAGGGCAGUCCAGGGAGACCCAAGGACAGGAGACGCUGGCUGCACAGCACAGGGGCGCACGAAUAGGACGUUUUGUUUACAGGCUUUUGUUAUUAAGGAAAUUGGUGUCAGUCAAGGUAAUUCUAGCUCAGAUGAGCAAUAAAUAUGCUCCCAGCUA